rnacentral:rRNA from 1 species
GAUCCUGGCUCAGGACGAACGCUGGCGGCGCGCCUAACACAUGCAAGUCGAACGAGCGAGAGAGAGCUUGCUUUCUCGAGCGAGUGGCGAACGGGUGAGUAACGCGUGAGGAACCUGCCUCAAAGAGGGGGACAACAGUUGGAAACGACUGCUAAUACCCCAUAAGCCCACGACCCGGCAUCGGGUAGAGGGAAAAGGAGCAAUCCGCCUUGAGAUGGCCUCGCGUCCGAUUAGCUAGUUGGUGAGG